rnacentral:lncRNA from 1 species
UGACUCUUCCCCCUCCUGCUCCGGCCCCGCCCCUGCUGAGCCAAACCCAGUAGGAGGCUGGGCCUGGGUUUGUGCUGCUGGGGUCUCCAUCACUGGGCCCAGUUCUCAAAGCCCCACUUCCAUUUCUGUUGAUUUGGCCGAGGCACCAGUUAAUUUUGGUUUUCAGCAACCGCAUCACACUGUUCGUCUGUUUAUGGCAGCCAGAAGAAGUGGCAAGGGCCUGGGAGCCU